rnacentral:rRNA from 1 species
UUUGGAGGGCACAGCUGGUGCCAGCAGCCGCGGUAAUUCCAGCUCCAAUAGCGUAUAUUAAAGUUGUUGCAGUUAAAAAGCUCGUAGUUGAAUUUCGGGGUUAGUAGGUUGGUCAUGCCUCUGGUAUGUACUGGUCUCACUGAUUCCUCCUUCCUGAUGAACCGUAAUGCCAUUAAUUUG